rnacentral:misc_RNA from 1 species
AACACAGUCGGAUCCAGCAG